rnacentral:tRNA from 1 species
GGGGGUGUAGCUCAGCGGUAGAGCAUUUGCCUAGCAUGCACAAGGUCCUGGGUUCCAUCCCUGGCAGCAUUG